CCUUCCCUAGAUUGGCUAGGUAAUUUAAUGCCCCAAGUUAGGGCCCAAAGGACCUUAAUAAAUGUGAUUCUGGGACAGCAGUAUGGAUGCAAGUUUCCACACAAGGACACAUCACUGCCGGCCAAUAGCCUGCAGCCAAGCCAAGUUCACAACUUCAGAGAAACUCUUCUGCUCCUCCCAAGAAUUCAUUCCUCUUUAUUCUGACAGCAAUUGUCUAAUAUGUCCCGACACUGGUGCUGUUACAUCCUGGUCAUCACUAAUUCCUAUGGAAAAAAGUGUACUUCAGCUUAACCUGAUUUUCUCAGGAACUUGCUCAAGACAGCAUCUCUUCAUCUAGCAUAUGGUUCCCAAACUGUGCCUAAUCAAAUUCCUUUUAAGUUUGUCCAGAGUAGCAUUAUUAAUCCAAUGUGCCAAUAUUGGGCCAAGAGAACACUCAGGAAUGUGACUUUCUGGGGCCCCAGACUGGGUGCUGGUUUGCACUCUUACACGGUUCCCAGUCCAACCUGGGCCAAGUCAAGGACACUUCCUCAGAGAAACAAUUCUCUCUCCCACCCCGAAUUUCCUGCUCCCUAUUCUGCCACAAAUGGUUUCAGAAUGCCUGAAACCAGAAACCUUAAAUCCCAGCUGUCCUCAAUUUCUGUGGGAAACAUUCUAUUUAGCUUGCCAUCCUUCUAAUAGUACUUAAGGCAGAGCAAAAUUCUCAGUCCAUCCCCUGGCUCCCAUCUGUGACCAAUACAGCUCUGAAGUCCUGACAGGGGUGGGGGGGAUUAUUCCAGUAAGCCAAUCAUAGGCCAGAACAACCCUGAGUGAUGAGAAUUUCCAAGUCCUCAUCCUGGGUGCACUUAUCCAUCCAUAUGAACUUCACAUCCAGACCCAAACUUGGGACCAAUGACAUCCGAUGACCAGGAGAACCUACGCUUCUUUUAGGACAUUCUUCCUCUGUUUUUUCUAACAAGAAUAUCCUCAGGUUGUGUGUAAAAGGCAAGUUUUUAUCCUGAUUCACCUACUUUAAAAGAAAAUUUAUCUCAACUUUAGAAAACUGAUCCUAGAGUUAUCACAGGUAAAGUACUUUUAGGGGGUCCUGAUACCCACAUGUGACCAAUCUAAGUCUUGUCAGGGGAAGCGUAGCUCUAAUGUUCAUGUUUGGGCCAUAAGAACCUACAGGAAUGUGCCUUUGUAAUUUGGUCCUAGUAGGAACAGAUCUCCCUGCAUGCAACUUUUACAUGUUACCACAAAUAUUUGGCCUAUCCAAGCACCCUCACUAAUAUAAAUAUUUCUUAUCUUUCCAGGAAUUUCUUUAUCCCUCUUCAUCCCAUAAAUGGCCUCAGGUUGCCUGCAGCUGGCUCAGUUGGAGACUGUGUAUCACCUGCUUCUGUGGCAAAAAUUUUACUUCCACUCUUUCUGCUUCUCCUAGUAGUUGGGAUGCAGUAAGUUUCUUCAUCCAGUCCUUGGAUGUUCAGCUAUGAAUACUAGAUCUCCUUAUAAAACUGUCUAGGAGAAGAGAAGGUAAUUCACAAGUCCAAAAGAUGUUCCAGAAGAAUCCAUAGAACUCUUCGUAAACAUGGCUUUAUAAGACAUCAGACUUGUUGCAGGUUUUCAUACAUGAGCACAUCACAGCCCAUUCAUAAUCUGUGGUCAAGCUAAGACAUUCCCCUGAGAGAAAGUGUUGUUCUCUGCCUAGGAAUUACAUCCUCACUCUUAUGCCAGAAGUCACCUCCAACUAUCAGAGACUGGCACUCUUACAGCAUUGGUGUACCCUAUUUCUUUAGAAAAACCUUGACUUGUAUUUACCCUGCAUUUUCUUUUUAUCCAGCACCUGGAUCCCACUUGCAAUCAAUUCAUCACUUCCUAAGUAUGGCUAUGGGAGGAGUAUUUCACUGAGCCAAGUUUGGGACCAAGGAACCCUCAGGAAUGUGGCUUUCUGGGGCCAAAUCCUAGUUUCAGGGAUCCAGGUCUGCGUGCAUCACAUGCUGCCACCAACAUGAGGCCAAGCAACUCCCAUUUCUGUGGAGAACAUUUUCUCCUUAUUCUUGGAAAUUAUUUCUCAUUAUUCUGGCAAGAAAGGUAUUCAGAUGGCCUGAAAAUGGCAAGUUUGCAUUCUCAAUUUUUUUCCUACUUUUUAGUGAAUCCUUUAUCUCAUUUUUUUUCUAAGCUGCAUGUAGGGUUAUCACAGGCAAGUCCCUUCAUGUGUCUGCUGGCUCCCUACAUGUGAUCAAACUGUCCCCUUCUAACUCUGUUGAAGAAGAGGUUAUUGCAAUAUUUACAUUUGGGCCAAAAGAACCUCAGGAAUGUGACUGGGAUCCCAUUCUGGGAUCAGGAGUCUAAGCAUGUGCCCUAUGUAUCCUGCCUCCAACUUUUGGCCUAGACAUGCCCCCAUUUGUUCAAAUGUUUCUCCUAUUUCCAGGAAUUUCUUUACAGCUCUUUCUACCACAAAUUGAGUCAAGUUGCCUACCAUUGGAACACUGAAUCCUGAGUGUUUCCAGAUUCUUCUCCUAAUGGUUUGAGUCAGACAAGUCUCUUCAUUUAGCUCCUAGAACCAACCCCAGCUGAGAAUAAUCAAACUGUCCUUAGCCUGUAUAGGGGAGUGUAACUCCUAUUCCCAAAGGUUAGGCCAGCAGUGCCCUCAUGAGUGAGGCUUUCUGGGACAUCAAAAAUCAUAUAGGUUUCCAUGAAUGUGCAUUUCACGAUCCAUUCAGAGCCUGGAGCUGAGCUAUGAACACCACCUCAAAAAAGAUUUAUUACUCAGCCAUAAAGAAGAAUAAUUUAUGACUUUUACUGGUAAAUGAAAGGAUCUAGAGAAUAUCAUGCUAAGUGAAAUAAGUCAAUCUCUCAAAAGCAAAGGUUGAAUGGUCUCUCUGAUAUGUGGAUGCUAACACACAACAAGAGGAGGAGAUAGAGGUUCAGUGGAUUAGACAAUGAAUAUUGAAGGGAAAAGAUAGGGAUAGAAAUAGGAAAGACAGUGGAAUGAAUCUGACAUAAUUUUCUUAUGUACAUAUAUAAAUCCACCACAGUAAAAUAUCAACAUUGUGUACAUGCACAAGACUGGGAUACUAUUUAGGAAGAAUAACUCCAUCUUUGAAUAACUGUGUCAAAAGAGACUCUACCAUCAUGUAUAACUAAAAAGACAAUGUGUGUAUGUGUAUAUAUAUAUAUAUAUAUAUAUAUAUAUAUAUAUAUAUAUAUAUAGAACCAGGACUAGUGUUCUAUAGUAUAUUAGGAUGACUAUUAUUAACAAAAAUAUUAUUUAUUUUGUGAAAAAUGAGGACAGGAGUAUAAAUGUUUUAAACACAAAGAAAUGAUAAAUGUUUUAGAAGGAUACUGAUUAUCCUGAGUAGGUCACUGCAAAUUGUAUUCAUUGAUUGCAAUAUCACAGUGUACCCCAUAGAUGUAGACAAUUAUAAUGUGUCAAUUGGAAAAGAGAAAGAGACCCUGAAGAGCUUUCUAGCUCCUUCCACCACCAGAAUGAAGAGAGAAGGCACUGACUACAAAGAACAGGACUAAGACAGACCAUGUAAAUGACAGAAACUUGAUCUUGAACUCUCCAUCCUUCAGAACUAUAAGAAAUAACUAAUUAUUGUUUAUAAGUCAAAGAAUAAUACAAAGUGAAUGUCUGAAUAUAGCACAAUGGAUUGUAAUUUUAUAUAUAGCUAAAAUGUAUCAAUUAAAAAUGAAUAAAUUGAAUGAAGACCACUAGAGUAGAGAAAGGAGAUUGGGGGAGGGAGAAGGGAAGAAAAAAGGGCAUAAUAUGGAAAUUUCAAUGGCAAAAACUGUGUUCUACACAUUUAUGAAUGUCAGGAUGCAUCCCUACAAUUAUGUAUACAAUGUACUAAAAAGAAC
rnacentral:lncRNA from 1 species